AAGAGACUUGAACCCACUUGGAGGUUUUCAAAACCAGCCGGAUUGCAGGAAAGAAAGAGGAUGUCCUUCCUGUCACCUUUGAUCUAUCAUGUUCUUCCUUCUCAUGCACAUCAUGCCCACGUUGCUAAAACCACUGCAUUUUUUCCAGGCAGCAUCUCCUUGGUCGAGAGCCCAGGUGUUGUUACAAGCUGCACCCAUGCCCUGGUAUCCCCGUGACAUGGCCUGGCCCACGGGAAAGGAGAGACACCGACCCUUCGGAAAGACACUCAGUGACACCAGAGGCAGAAGCAAACAGCAAGGCUGAUGGAGCCUCUCCCCACCCCUGUCUCCAAAUGUAGCUGUUUUCUAACGGUCCCCCAGGAAGGAGAUCUGGCCCUUGCUUCAGCAUCCUGCAUCAGCUUCUAACAGCCCCAUGUGGGCUGAACGCUCCAGGAGGAAUCCUGUGCCCCGUGGGCCCUCUCUGUGUAUCUCCGUCACCGUGGCAUCAGGCUCCUUCUAGCCCUGUUUCACUCAACGUUGAUUGCAGCCUUAAUACUCAAGUUCUUGAUGAAAUCCUCUCUUUGACUUUUGCUAACUUAUAACACCCCUUCAAAGCCCCUGGGGUCCCAGAGGCACUGGGUUCUGGACCAAACACCAGGCGCCAUCCCCCAGUCCCCCAGACUCGCCAUGGUGACACAGAGGAAAGAGCGUGUCUGCUCCAGGGUCAUAGGCAGCUUCCUGGAGAUUUUUAAAAAGUAGUUUGACACCGUUGCCAAAGAAGUACCCACAGUUGAAGAGAAGAUUCGUGGAGAUGUGAGAGUAAACCUCGAGGAAUGAGUCUCACCGGUAGCUCAGAUGGUGGAAGGAUUCAGGUUUCCAGAGGAGGCAGCAUCUGGCCUGGUUUGGGCGUGUGGGUAGCAUCUCAGACACAAGGAGCCAAGGGCGACCUCAGCAUGGGGCACGGAGCACCCGAGUUCUCCGCUUCGGGCCUGGGAAUUUAUCUACAACUUGCUCAUUUGUUUAUUCAUUGACUGGUUACUGAACGCUCCUGUGUGCCGGGCACCGGGGCUGUGGCCCUGAGAACAACAGACACUGCCUUCAGACGAUGCGUUUUAGGGGAGAAGACACAUGAAGCACAAGUAGGUGGUGGUAACUGCAGAGCCAAGGGUGUCGGGUGUGCCGGGGUGCGCAGGGUGGGAGGGUGUAGCUGCUUUAUCUGGGGUGGUCAGAGAAGGAAUUGAGGGAGCAGGCCCUUGGGGAGCUGAGUGAAGAGCAUCCCUGACAGAGGGGCUGCAGGACCAGGGAAGAGUGCCACGGUGGAGAGAACAGGAUCUAGGAGUGGAGUAUCAGAGCUUCGUUGGUUCUGCUACUGAUUUGCGCUGGUUCUUGGACCCAGUGACAAAGCAACGUGAUUGUGAGGAUGGGCUAGGAGCUGGACCACGUGGAUGUGAAUCCCAGCUCUGCCACUUAUGACUAGAUGAGCUGGCAAGUUACUUAACCUUCCCAAGCUUCCAUUUCGCCAUCUGAAAAUAUGGGGGAAACCCCCGUCCUCCAGGCCCUCUUUGGGAGGAUUAAAUGAGUUAAUUCAUAUAGAGCACCGAAACCAGGGCCGGACCUGCUGUGAGCCCAAGCUGACAGCAGCUAUUUCUAUGAGAGCAAGUUGUUUGCCCUCUAUGGGGUACAGUACUGUCGUCCCAGAUUGUGAGCUUCGGAGAGGUGGUCUCUUAAGUGCUCAACCCAAAGAUUCUUGGAAAUCUGAUGUUAAUUUACAUGUUAUUUUAUGGACCAUUUCAUGUCAUUUGUUAACUGCUUUUUUUUUUUUUUACGGUCUGCCCCCAUCACUGUCCUCUUGCAGGGUUUAGCUUCCUUCCAGUGAUGUUGAGUAUGGGGUCCUUCACUUGUCUUUGCUAGAAUUCCACUUCUCUCUGCCUCACUGGUGGGCUUUAUUCCUUCCGGGAUCUUUACACAGCACUCAGUGCACUUAGUUGAUUAAAAACAUUCUCUCUAUUAAUUUCAAUACACUGGCAAGGGAUCUCUGUAGCAGAAACUUCAAAAAAUGAAAUUUCAUUAGGUCCCAAAUUGAACUAUUUGUAAUGAGGUGGAUGGACCUAAAGUCUGUCAUACAGAGUGAAGUAAGUCAGAAAGAGAAAGACAAAUACCGUAUGCUAACACAUAUAUAUGGAAUUUAAGGGAAAAAAAUGUCGUAAAGAACCUAGGGGUAAGACAGGAAUAAAGACACAGACCUACUGUGGAUAAUGGACUUGAGGAUAUGGGAAGGGGGAAGGGUAAGCUGUGACAAAGCGAGAGAGAGGCAUGGACAUAUAUACACUACCAAACGUAAAGUAGAUAGCUAUUGGGAAGCAGCUGCAUAGCACAGGGAGAUCAGCUCGGUGCUUUGUGACCGCCUGGAGGGGUGGGAUAGGGAGGGUGGGAGGGAGGGAGACACAAGAGGGAAGAGAUACGGGAACAUGUGUAUAUGUAUAACUGAUUCACUUUGUUAUAAAGCAGAAACUAACACACCAUUGUAAAGCAAUUAUACUCCAAUAAAGAUGUAAAAAAAAAAAAAAAAAAAGAAAAUGAAAUUU